AACGAACGCUGGCGGCGUGGACAAGACAUGCAAGUCGAACGGGACAGGUAGCAAUAUCUGUCUAGUGGCGAACGGGUGCGUAACACGUGGGCAACAUGCCUGGAAGAGCGGGAUAGCCCGGGGAAACUCGGAUUAAUACCGCAUGUGACAACGGGGCGGCUUCGCCCUGUUUUCAAAGGUGGGGACCGCAAGGCCUGCCGCUUCCAGAUUGGCCCGCGUCCUAUCAGCUAGUUGGCGGGGUAAAAGCCCACCAAGGCGACGACGGGUAGCUGGUCUGAGAGGACGACCAGCCACACUGGAACUGAGACACGGUCCAGACACCUACGGGUGGCAGCAGUCGAGAAUCUUUCACAAUGGGGGAAACCCUGAUGGAGCGACGCCGCGUGGAGGAUGAAGGUCUUCGGAUUGUAAACUCCUGUCAUGAAAGAACAAGCGAUGCGGGUGAACAGCCCGCAAAGUUGAUAGUAUUUCAAGAGGAAGGGACGGCUAACUUCGUGCCAGCCGCCGCCGUAAAAC
rnacentral:rRNA from 1 species